rnacentral:rRNA from 1 species
GGUUAAGCGAAUAAGCGUACACGGUGGAUGCCUAGGCAGUCAGAGGCGAUGAAGGACGUGCUAAUCUGCGAUAAGCGCCGGUAAGGUGAUAUGAACCGUUAUAACCGGCGAUUUCCGAAUGGGGAAACCCAGUGUGAUUCGUCACACUAUCAUUACCUGAAUACAUAGGGUAAUGAAGCGAACCGGGAGAACUGAAACAUCUAAGUACCCCGAGGAAAAGAAAUCAAACGAGAUUCCCCCAGUAGCGGCGAGCGAACGGGGAGCAGCCCAGGACCUUAAUCAGCAUCAGUGUUAAGAGAACAGUCUGGAAAGGCUGGCCACAGCAGGUGAUAGCCCUGUAUCUGAAAGCACUGGUGUUGUGAGUCCGAUGAGUAAGGCGGGACACGUGUUAUCCUGUCUGAAUACGGGGGGACCAUCCUCCAAGGCUAAAUACUCCUGACUGACCGAUAGUGAACCAGUACCGUGAGGGAAAGGCGAAAAGAACCCCGGCGAGGGGAGUGAAAAAGAACCUGAAACCGUGUACGUACAAGCAGUGGGAGCACCU